rnacentral:rRNA from 1 species
UACGGGGGGGGCAAGCGUUGUUCGGAAUUACUGGGCGUAAAGGGCUCGUAGGCGGCCAACUAAGUCAGACGUGAAAUCCCUCGGCUUAACCGGGGAACUGCGUCUGAUACUGGAUGGCUUGAAUCCGGGAGAGGGAUGCGGAAUUCCAGGUGUAGCGGUGAAAUGCGUAGAGAUCGGGAGGAACACCCGUGGCGAAGGCGGCUCACUGGGCUGACCUUGACGCUGAGGCGCGAAGGCGUGGGGAGCGAACGGG